rnacentral:other from 1 species
CAUUCCCUGCGGUGUUCGGCAGCGGCCUGGGUAUUUUCUUGAGCCUAAUCCGUACCCCGGGGAUGCAGCGUGAAGGCCGUUGCGCAUGUCCGCCCCGAGCGGAAAGCCUGAAGCCCGAACAAGUGUCCCCACUUGAACCGCCUGGUUCAAGAACAAAGGUCCGCACCGCCACAGGCGGGGAAUGU